CAUAAAAAUUUUAAGCCCCCA
ensembl:piRNA 21ur-15636 ncRNA